GCCCGGCUAGCUCAGUUGGUAGAGCAUGAGACGCUUAAUCUCAGGGUCAUGGGAUCGAGUCCCACAUUGGGUG